rnacentral:rRNA from 1 species
UACGUAGGGUGCGAGCGUUAAUCGGAAUUACUGGGCGUAAAGCGUGCGCAGGCGGUUCGCCAAGUCAGGUGUGAAAUCCCCGGGCUUAACCUGGGAAUUGCGCUUGAAACUAGCGGGCUUGAGUGUGGCAGAGGGGGUGGAAGUUCCACGUGUAGCAGUGAAAUGCGUAGAGAUGUGGAGGAACACCGAUGGCGAAGGCAGCCCCUGGGUCAACACUGACGCUCAUGCACGAAAGCGUGGGGAGCAAACAGG